AGGAAAGAAAAAAAUCUGAGAGAGAGAGAGAGAUUGAGAGAGUUCUGGAGACAUCAAGAGAAGGAACCAAGGGGAGAAAAGAGAAAGUGCAUCUAAAGCUUGGAGAUUUGAAGAAUUGUAAAGAAAUUCAAGGAUUUAAUUCAAGGUUAAGAUGAGAACAUCACCCAACUGUUACCAGAAGCCUAUCACUGUGAGCCAUCGAAGGAACAACAUUAGAGUUUGUACUGAAGUCUGCCUCUCUGUCAAGCCUCCUAGGAAGUGCCUCUAUGUUGAGGCGUGGUGUUAUUUCGUCAAGCCUAGUUUUGUUUGAAGUCUUUCAUAUAGUGUGUGAGAUCUUUAUAAGCUCUGUUAUUGUAUAUGUAAAUAUGGAAAGUGUAGUUAAAUAAUUUAAUUCUUUUAGGUCAUCAUGUAUGCAUAGCUCAAUGGACAUUUAUUAUUUUUGUUUUGCUUCCACUUUAGGUCUCGAUAUGAUUUGAAUAUUUUGAAAUUUUGUCUCUGAGGCCUAAGUACAGGCCCGUCAUGACCUAAAC